rnacentral:rRNA from 1 species
UACGGAGGGUGCAAGCGUUGUUCGGAAUCAUUGGGCGUAAAGCGCGUGUAGGCGGCUUGGUAAGUCCGUUGUGAAAUCUCACAGCUUAACUGUGAAACUGCGACGGAAACUGCUUUGCUAGAGUGCGGGAGAGGAGAGUGGAAUUCCCAGUGUAGAGGUGAAAUUCGUAGAUACUGGGAGGAACACCGGUGGCGAAGGCGGCUCUCUGGACCGCUACUGACGCUGAGACGCGAAAGCUAGGGGAGCAAACGGG